UAGGGAAUCUUCCACAAUGGACGCAAGUCUGAUGGAGCAACGCCGCGUGAGUGAAGAAGGUUUUCGGAUCGUAAAGCUCUGUUGUUGGUGAAGAAGGAUAGAGGCAGUAACUGGUCUUUAUUUGACGGUAAUCAACCAGAAAGUCACGGCUAACUACGUGCCAGCAGCCGCGGUAAUACGUAGGUGGCAAGCGUUGUCCGGAUUUAUUGGGCGUAAAGCGAGCGCAGGCGGAAUGAUAAGUCUGAUGUGAAAGCCCACGGCUCAACCGUGGAACUGCCUCGGAAACUGGCAUUCUUGAGUGCAGAAGAGGAGAGUGGAAUUCCAUGUGUAGCGGUGGAAUGCGUAGAUAUAUGGAAGAACAACAGUGGAGAAGGCGGCUCUCUGGUCUGCAACUGACGCUGAGGCUCGAAAGCAUGGGUAGCGAACAGG
rnacentral:rRNA from 1 species